CACGUAGGGCGCGAGCGUUGUCCGGAAUUAUUGGGCGUAAAGAGCUCGUAGGCGGUCUGUCGCGUCGGCUGUGAAAUCCCGAGGCUCAACCUCGGGUCUGCAGUCGAUACGGGCAAACUAGAGUAUUGCAGGGGAGACUGGAAUUCCUGGUGUAGCGGUGAAAUGCGCAGAUAUCAGGAGGAACACCGGUGGCGAAGGCGGGUCUCUGGGCAAUAACUGACGCUGAGGAGCGAAAGCGUGGGGAGCGAACAGG
rnacentral:rRNA from 1 species